ensembl:lncRNA novel transcript
AGGGGCGGAAACGCCCGGCUCUGCAGCCUGCCCAGCGCCGCGCUGCUGCUGGUUUCCUCUUCCUUGCAGAUUGUGUUCAAACCCAUUGCUAAUUGUGUCAGUAAACAACAGACACAAUUUUCUCUUUGCAGAGAGGUUGGGCAGCGGCGUUUGAACGUUGAGCAAAGCCUUUCCAUUCACCUGUAAAAUAGAAUCAAAGGCUGGACGCCGUGGCUUACGCCUGUAAUCCCAACACUUUGGGAGGCCAAGGUGGGAGGAUCGCUUGAGCCUAGGAGUUCGGCCUUGGCAACAUAGCAAGACUCAUUUUCUAUAAUACAAAAAAAUAAAAAAAUUGGCCGUGUGGGCUGGCUCGCACCUGUGGUUCCAGCUGCUCGGGAGGCCAAGGUGGGAGGAUCAGCUGAGCCCUGGAGGUGGAGGCUGCAGUGAGCCGAGAUCCCACUAAUGUACUCCAGCCUGGGCGACAGAGCUGAGCUAUUCUGACACCAGCUUUUACCUUGCC